AAACCAACAGGGAUUGCCCUAGUAACGGCGAGUGAAGCGGCAACAGCUCAAAUUUGAAAUCUGGCUCUCGGGCCCGAGUUGUAAUUUGUAGAGGAUGCUUUUGAUGCGGUGCCUUCCGAGUUCCCUGGAACGGGACGCCAUAGAGGGUGAGAGCCCCGUCUGGUUGGAUGCCAAAUCUCUGUAAAGCUCCUUCGACGAGUCGAGUAGUUUGGGAAUGCUGCUCUAAAUGGGAGGUAUAUGUCUUCUAAAGCUAAAUACCGGCCAGAGACCGAUAGCGCACAAGUAGAGUGAUCGAAAGAUGAAAAGCACUUUGAAAAGAGAGUUAAAAAGUACGUGAAAUUGUUGAAAGGGAAGCGUUUAUGACCAGACUUGGGCUUGGUUAAUCAUCUGGGGUUCUCCCCAGUGCACUUUUCCAGUCCAGGCCAGCAUCAGUUUUCGCCGGGGGAUAAAGGCUUCGGGAAUGUGGCUCUCUCCGGGGAGUGUUAUAGCCCGUUGCGUAAUACCCUGGCGGGGACUGAGGUUCGCGCAUCUGCAAGGAUGCUGGCGUAAUGGUCAUCAACGAC
rnacentral:rRNA from 1 species